AGAGUUUGAUCCUGGCUCAGGACGAACGCUGGCGGCGCGCCUAACACAUGCAAGUCGAACGAGCGAGAGAGAGCUUGCUUUCUCGAGCGAGUGGCGAACGGGUGAGUAACGCGUGAGGAACCUGCCUCAAAGAGGGGGACAACAGUUGGAAACGACUGCUAAUACCGCAUAAGCCCACGGCUCGGCAUCGAGCAGAGGGAAAAGGAGCAAUCCGCUUUGAGAUGGCCUCGCGUCCGAUUAGCUAGUUGGUGAGGUAAUGGCCCACCAAGGCGACGAUCGGUAGCCGGACUGAGAGGUUGAACGGCCACAUUGGGACUGAGACACGGCCCAGACUCCUACGGGAGGCAGCAGUGGGGAAUAUUGCACAAUGGGGGAAACCCUGAUGCAGCGACGCCGCGUGGAGGAAGAAGGUCUUCGGAUUGUAAACUCCUGUUGUUGGGGAAGAUAAUGACGGUACCCAACAAGGAAGUGACGGCUAACUACGUGCCAGCAGCCGCGGUAAAACGUAGGUCACAAGCGUUGUCCGGAAUUACUGGGUGUAAAGGGAGCGCAGGCGGGAAGACAAGUUGGAAGUGAAAUCUAUGGGCUCAACCCAUAAACUGCUUUCAAAACUGUUUUUCUUGAGUAGUGCAGAGGUAGGCGGAAUUCCCGGUGUAGCGGUGGAAUGCGUAGAUAUCGGGAGGAACACCAGUGGCGAAGGCGGCCUACUGGGCACCAACUGACGCUGAGGCUCGAAAGUGUGGGUAGCAAACAGGAUUAGAUACCCUGGUAGUCCACACCGUAAACGAUGAUUACUAGGUGUUGGAGGAUUGACCCCUUCAGUGCCGCAGUUAACACAAUAAGUAAUCCACCUGGGGAGUACGACCGCAAGGUUGAAACUCAAAGGAAUUGACGGGGGCCCGCACAAGCAGUGGAGUAUGUGGUUUAAUUCGACGCAACGCGAAGAACCUUACCAAGUCUUGACAUCCCUUGACGAUGCUGGAAACAGUGUUUCUCUUCGGAGCAAGGAGACAGGUGGUGCAUGGUUGUCGUCAGCUCGUGUCGUGAGAUGUUGGGUUAAGUCCCGCAACGAGCGCAACCCUUAUGGUCAGUUACUACGCAAGAGGACUCUGGCCAGACUGCCGUUGACAAAACGGAGGAAGGUGGGGAUGACGUCAAAUCAUCAUGCCCUUUAUGACUUGGGCUACACACGUACUACAAUGGCGUUAAACAAAGAGAAGCAAGACCGCGAGGUGGAGCAAAACUCAGAAACAACGUCCCAGUUCGGACUGCAGGCUGCAACUCGCCUGCACGAAGUUGGAAUUGCUAGUAAUCGUGGAUCAGCAUGCCACGGUGAAUACGUUCCCGGGCCUUGUACACGCCGCCCGUCACACCAUGAGAGCCGGGGGGACCCGAAGUCGGUA
rnacentral:rRNA from 1 species